rnacentral:piRNA from 1 species
UAAAUAUUAUUUCACUAUUCUCUGGUUCC